rnacentral:rRNA from 1 species
AGCGAACGCUGGCGGCAGGCUUAACACAUGCAAGUCGAACGGAUCCUUCGGGAUUAGUGGCGGACGGGUGAGUAACACGUGGGAACGUGCCUUUUGGUUCGGAACAACACAGGGAAACUUGUGCUAAUACCGGAUGUGCCCUUCGGGGAAGGAUUUAUCGCCAUUAGAGCGGCCCGCGUCUGAUUAGCUUGUUGGUGAGGUAAAGGCUCACCAAGGCUACGAUCAGUAGCUGGUCNGAGAGGAUGAUCAGCCACACUGGGACUGAGACACGGCCCAGACUCCUACGGGAGGCAGCAGUGGGGAAUCUUGCGCAAUGGGGGAAACCCGUGACGCAGCCAUGCCGCGUGAAUGAUGAAGGUC